UACGAAGGUGGCAAGCGUUGUUCGGAAUCACUGGGCUUAAAGCGCACGCAGGCGGGCGAUUAAGUGUCUUGUGAAAGCCCUCGGCUUAACCGGGGAAUUGCUGGGCAAACUGAUCGUCUUGAGGCAAGUAGGGGCGAGUGGAACUCUUGGUGGAGCGGUGGAAUGCGUAGAUAUCAAGAGGAACGUCGGAGGCGAAGGCGACUCGCUGGGCUUGUCCUGACGCUGAGGUGCGAAAGCCAGGGGAGCAAACGGG
rnacentral:rRNA from 1 species